GACGAACGCUGGCGGCGUGCUUAACACAUGCAAGUCGUACGGUAAGGCCCUUUCGGGGGUACACGAGUGGCGAACGGGUGAGUAACACGUGAGUAACCUGCCCACAACUUUGGGAUAACGCUAGGAAACUGGUGCUAAUACUGGAUAUGUGCUCCUGCUGCAUGGUGGGGGUUGGAAAGCUCCGGCGGUUGUGGAUGGACUCGCGGCCUAUCAGCUUGUUGGUGGGGUAGUGGCCUACCAAGGCGGCGACGGGUAGCCGGCCUGAGAGGGUGACCGGCCACAUUGGGACUGAGAUACGGCCCAGACUCCUACGGGAGGCAGCAGUGGGGAAUAUUGCACAAUGGGCGCAAGCCUGAUGCAGCAACGCCGCGUGCGGGAUGACGGCCUUCGGGUUGUAAACCGCUUUCAGCAGGGACGAAGCUUUUUGGGACGGUACCUGCAGAAGAAGCACCGGCGAACUACGU
rnacentral:rRNA from 1 species